UCGUCGAAGGAUCGCGUGUACGCUUUUGACAUUUCGUGGAUUGCCGCGCGUUAGCCCCGAUUUCCCUAUGAGCGAAUCCUGCGACACCCCAGACGAAUUUAAAGCUUUUAUGAAACGAGAGGGGUCGACCAAUGACUAAGGGUAAAAUACGAAGAAAGAGACAGACAGAAAAGGAACUGUAGAAAUAGUAGGGCGGUAGAGGAUGGAGUGAGCAAAUUGAAAAGUGGAGGAACGAGGAGGGAACAGGACGACGAAAAAGGACGUAGAAAAGGGAGCACGCGGCGAAGAAGAAGAAAAGGCUCGCUUUUCAGACGGUUCAAUAGAUUUCGAUCUGAGCGACUUUUUUCUGGGCUCGAAACGAAACGACGAACAAUGGGCCAGACGGAAACCAUGGCCGAGCUUGAAGACUUCCCGUGUAUACGAUUCCACAUGCAUAUGUGUAUGCGCAAGGGAUAGAGUGAUCGUGUGCGUGUACAUCUGGAUCGACCGGGUCCUGAACGAGAACGGAAGUUUAAUGACUUCGAGUGUCGGUGAAAAUCAGGAUCAGCUGGAGACUCGUGUUCCGCACGCUUUGUCGCUUGAUGACGUAAAAAGAAAUACAGAACCCUUGUCCGAAGGUUACGAAAGUUCAUCCGGUGCUGAAUGAAACGCAAGGAUGAAGCAGAAAUAUCUAAUACAGGAAUUUUUAAUUUUUAUGCGUAUACUUGGAAACGCGAAGCUGGUAAAGCGGCCAGUUCUCUCCUAUCCGUUGCUCCCGUCUGGUGGGCCCACGAGAGAGAAAGUCAGUCGACAUCGAUUACGUAUAGCAGUUGGGAGUCGAAGGUCCCCCAGCUGUUCUUCCGUGGAGAGCGAUGGACCAACGCCUCCUUUGAAAGGCCUCUUGCAAGCUGAUGAUGUUUAUCCGCUGGAUCUCACCGAAAUUGAUUGUUUCCUCCCGACUGUAAAAAACGAAACGUUCGAUGUAGAUAAAAAAGAAGAAAGGAAAAAGGAGAUAGGGAAAUUAAGAAAAAAAGAAGGAAAUAUACCGUUUCACGGUUGUAACAAUAAGCCUAUAACGUACAUUUUACAUACAUAUAUCCUAGCAUUUUACCAUUGCUGAAGCGAUGAUAACUAUAAAAUAUUUAUCGAAGCAAUGCAAUGAUAAGAUUAACAGAAUUCUUUGUUCCAAACGUCGUAAUUCCUGAAUGUUUCCAAACCGUAUUAUGAAUCCAUUGUAAUUUCGAGUUAA